rnacentral:rRNA from 1 species
GUGGGGAAUCUUGCGCAAUGGGCGAAAGCCUGACGCAGCCAUGCCGCGUGAAUGAUGAAGGUCUUAGGAUUGUAAAAUUCUUUCACCGGGGACGAUAAUGACGGUACCCGGAGAAGAAGCUCCGGCUAACUUCGUGCCAGCAGCCGCGGUAAUACGAAGGGGGCUAGCGUUGCCCGGAAUUACUGGGCGUAAAGGGCGCGUAGGCGGACAGCUUAGUCAGAGGUGAAAGCCCAGGGCUCAACCUUGGAAUUGCCUUUGAUACUGGCUGGCUUGAGUUUGGGAGAGGUGAGUGGAACUCCGAGUGUAGAGGUGAAAUUCGUAGAUAUUCGGAAGAACACCAGUGGCGAAGGCGACUCACUGGCCCAAUACUGACGCUGAGGCGCGAAAGCGUGGGGAGCAAACAGGAUUAGAAACCCCAGUAGUCC